rnacentral:rRNA from 1 species
AUUGAACGCUGGCGGAAUGCUUUACACAUGCAAGUCGAACGGCAGCACGGACUUCGGUCUGGUGGCGAGUGGCGAACGGGUGAGUAAUGUAUCGGAACGUGCCCAGUCGUGGGGGAUAACGUAGUGAGAAUUACGCUAAUACCGCAUACGAUCUAUGGAUGAAAGCGGGGGAUCGUAAGACCUCGCGCGAUUGGAGCGGCCGAUAUCAGAUUAGGUAGUUGGUGGGGUAAAGGCCCACCAAGCCAACGAUCUGUAGCCGGUCUGAGAGGACGACCAGCCACACUGGAACUGAGACACGGUCCAGACUCCUACGGGAGGCAGCAGUGGGGAAUUUUGGACAAUGGGCGAAAGCCUGAUCCAGCCAUUCCGCGUGCAGGAUGAAGGCCCUCGGGUUGUAAACUGCUUUUGUACAGAACGAAAAGGUUUCUACUAAUACUAGGAGCUCAUGACGGUACUGUAAGAAUAAGCACCGGCUAACUACGUGCCAGCCGCCGCGGUAA